CACGGCUAACUACGUGCCAGCAGCCGCGGUAAUAACGUAGGUGGCAAGCGUUAUCCGGAUUUAUUGGGCGUAAAGAGAGUGCAGGCGGUUUUCUAAGUCUGAUGUGAAAGCCUUCGGCUUAACCGGAGAAGUGCAUCGGAAACUGGAUAACUUGAGUGCAGAAGAGGGUAGUGGAACUCCAUGUGUAGCGGUGGAAUGCGUAGAUAUAUGGAAGAACACCAGUGGCGAAGGCGGCUACCUGGUCUGCAACUGACGCUGAGACUCGAAAGCAUGGGUAGCGAACAGGAUUAGAUACCCUGGUAG
rnacentral:rRNA from 1 species